AGACAGAUCUUUUUAUAGCACAGAGCUUAGCCCCGGCCACAGUAUAUAACACUGAAUUUUAAUCUUAUGGUGCAUUUUUGAUUACAGGAGUAAAUUUCAAAAUGUAACCCUGUAUCAUAAGGAAAAUAAAAAUGC